rnacentral:rRNA from 1 species
UGAGGAAUAUUGCGCAAUGGACGAAAGUCUGACGCAGCCACGCCGCGUGCAGGAAGACACCCCUCAGGGGCGUAAACUGCUUUUAUACGGGAAGAACACCUCCUUCUAGGAGGUCUGACGGUACCGUACGAAUAAGGACCGGCUAACUCCGUGCCAGCAGCCGCGGUAAUACGGAGGGUCCAAGCGUUGUCCGGAAUCACUGGGUGUAAAGGGUGCGCAGGCGGGCGUGUAAGUCAGGGGUGAAAGCCACCGGCCUAACCGGUGAACUGCCCUUGAUACUGCACGUCUUGAGUCCCGGAGAGGCUAUCGGAAUUCGUGGUGUAGCGGUGAAAUGCGUAAAUAUCACGAGGAACACCUGAUGCGUAGGCGGAUAGCUGGACGGGUACUGACGCUCAGGCACGAAAGCGUGGGGAGCAAACAGG